CAAUUUUACUUGCCAAUGUAUGAUGCAACAAUGGUUUUAAAGGAUGAAAGUGGGGAUGAAUACACUACCAAUUACCUUAAGGAGAAAGCGCUUAGUGGUGGAUGGAGAAGGUUCUCCAUUGCCUAAAAAUUGGUUGAAGGUGAUGCCGUAGUUUUCCAUCUUGUUAGCUGACUUAGCCUUAUCAAAUUCAAGGUGUACAUAGUGAGAGCAAAGGAUUUUAAGGUAGCCGAUGCCCUCAGCCUUCCAAAUUCCGUAGCUUGUGCAAAAGAAACAGAUUUUGGAUCUUAUGCAGAGAAGAACAGCGAAACAUGUGAGAAGGAAGAGAAAAAGCCUUCGAGGCUUGAACUAGAUGAUGAAUCCCAUCCUGAUUGGAGCAAUACUCACUCCUCAAACACAACAGAAGGUUCC